AGCGAACGCUGGCGGCAGGCCUAACACAUGCAAGUCGAACGAACUCUUCGGAGUUAGUGGCGGACGGGUGAGUAACACGUGGGAACGUGCCUUUAGGUUCGGAAUAACUCAGGGAAACUUGAGCUAAUACCGGAUGUGCCCUUCGGGGGAAAGAUUUAUCGCCUUUAGAGCGGCCCGCGUCUGAUUAGCUAGUUGGUGAGGUAAAGGCUCACCAAGGCGACGAUCAGUAGCUGGUCUGAGAGGAUGAUCAGCCACAUUGGGGCUGAGACACGGCCCAAACUCCUACGGGAGGCAGCAGUGGGGAAUCUUGCGCAAUGGGCGAAAGCCUGACGCAGCCAUGCCGCGUGAAUGAUGAAGGUCUUAGGAUUGUAAAAUUCUUUCACCGGGGACGAUAAUGACGGUACCCGGAGAAGAAGCCCCGGCUAACUUCGUG
rnacentral:rRNA from 1 species